AGUGAACGCUGGCGGUAGGCCUAACACAUGCAAGUCGAACGGCAGCACAGUAAGAGCUUGCUCUUACGGGUGGCGAGUGGCGGACGGGUGAGGAAUACAUCGGAAUCUACUUUUUCGUGGGGGAUGACGUAGGGAAACUUACGCUAAUACCGCAUACUACCUACGGGUGAAAGCAGGGGAUCUUCGGACCUUGCGCGAUUGAAUGAGCCGAUGUCGGAUUAGCUAGUUGGCGGGGUAAAGGCCCACCAAGGCGACGAUCCGUAGCUGGUCUGAGAGGAUGAUCAGCCACACUGGAACUGAGACACGGUCCAGACUCCUACGGGAGGCAGCAGUGGGGAAUAUUGGACAAUGGGCGCAAGCCUGAUCCAGCCAUACCGCGUGGGUGAAGAAGGCCUUCGGGUCGUAAAACCCUUUUGUUGGGAAAGAAAAGCAGCAUGUUAAUAUCCCGCUGUUCUGACGGUACCCAAAGAAUAAGCACCGGCUAACUUCGUG
rnacentral:rRNA from 1 species